CCUGAGGGAAAGAUCUCUGUGUCUGACUGCACUUUUAGGGUGGAGGGAGGAGUGAACAGAAGAGGUAAAACAGAAAGUACUAGACUCUCUCUGAGAUCAACACAAAAAGGAGCCUGAGGAGGGGAAGGCGGGGGACCCAGAGGCGGGUGUCGAGUGGCAGGAAAUGGGUGGUUAUUCCCAGCAGGCACGGUGGCAAGCCCAAAGCAGCAAAGUCUUACUUGGAGGGGGGGGUCUCUGCGGUGGGUGAGGUGGCCGAGGCCUAGUGGGAACCGACAAAGACCUGCUUGGAGAACGGUGCCGGAAAUCCCCAACUGCUUCCAGCUCCUGCUUUAGCUCCACCAGGUCAGCGUCAUCUGGAGGACAUGGUGGAAGAAAAGGACUGCCUGCUGUCUGAAAAGCGUGUCCCUUCAGCCACUCCUACUCCAGGGCAGGAGCCCUCUGGAUGUGCAGGGCACAGAACCACCUCGAUGCAUGGAUGAAGACUGCUGCUUCCCGGUAGCAGUCCCCAAACUCAGCCAUGCAUCUCAGUCCUCCAAGGAGCUUCGUGACCUGCCAGUUUCCAGGAUCCCAGUCCACCCCUGCCAAAUCCACAUCUCUAUGAUGGGGCUCAGCAACCUCUCUAGAUCCAGCCCUGGUGCUGUGAGAAGACCCUGGAACAGACACCUAAUUCUCUCCAUGCAUCUGUGGAAGGAUGUAGACAACACUGGUUGGAGGAAGAAAGCAAAACCUAUUCUAGCAAGCCCACCCUGAGCCAGCAGUCCCCCAGCACAGCCCUGGAGAGCGUGGGAUCCUUGCCCGCCCUUCCCUGCCGUGAAUCACAAGGACAAUGACAGCAGCCACAGCAUAUCACCCCUAUCAUCCACCUACGUGUGCUGGGCUCUGUUCUGGGGGCACACUGCCCUCACAGCAGUCCUGCGAAGCAUGCACUAUUGGCUCUCCUUUGGAUUAAAAAAGUUCAAAAAAACUUGCUAAAGUUAUCACUAGUGCAUAAUAAGUGCAACAUUUGAACUCAGGUCAACCUAAGUCCGAAAUCUGUUUCUUUUUCCUUGUGUGGCAUUUCCACUCUCUGUAACCCAUAACAGUAAUCUAGACAGAAUAUUAAAAUGAUCACAACCAAAUAAAUGAGUGUGCAGAGCACUGUUGGCCAGUAGAACUUUCUGCAGUGAUAGAAAUGUCCUCCAUCCGCACUGUCCAGAACAGGAGCCGCCAGCCACAAGCAGCCACAUGCAGCCACUGAGUGACCAUCAAAAAACAUGGCCAGUGUAACCAAGGAACUCUUUGUUUUAUUUCAUUUUAAUUAAUUAAAAUUUAAGUACCUGCUUGUGGCUAGCAGCUAGUCUACCAAAGAGCACAGGUGUAGAGUAUUAACCUAUAGGUAUCCCUUGAUAUUUCUGUUGGGGGGGAAAAAAAAACUAUGUUAAAAGCUCUUUGAAUAUUUUGAAUGUGUCCAAAGUUGUUUACUAUUUCAAGAUAGCAGUUUAAGUGAGAAGGGCUGGACUUUUUUUUUUUUUAAACUAAAUAGACACACAAAGAAAAUAAGCAUAAUGUCCCAUGAAGUCUAGAAGACUUCACGUUGUAAAUUUCCCAACUCUACUUGUUUCUUCUUUAAUUCAAGAAAUAAAAACUAGAGCAAAGAUUACAGCA